UAAUUGAAGAGUUUGAUCCUGGCUCAGAUUGAACGCUGGCGGCAUGCCUAACACAUGCAAGUCGAACGGCAGCACAGUGUGUAGCAAUACACAUGGGUGGCGAGUGGCGGACGGGUGAGUAAUGCAUAGGAAUCUGCCCAGUAGCGGGGGACAACCCGGAGAAAUCCGGGCUAAUACCGCAUACGCCCUACGGGGGAAAGCGGGGGACCGAAAGGCCUCGCACUAUUGGAUGAGCCUAUGUCGGAU
rnacentral:rRNA from 1 species